UGCUGGAGGUAUCAGAAGUGCGAAUGCUGACAUAAGUAACGAUAAAGCGGGUGAAAAGCCCGCUCGCCGGAAGACCAAGGGUUCCUGUCCAACGUUAAUCGGGGCAGGGUGAGUCGACCCCUAAGGCGAGGCCGAAAGGCGUAGUCGAUGGGAAACGGGUUAAUAUUCCCGUACUUGGUGUUACUGCGAAGGGGGGACGGAGAAGGCUAUGUUGGCCGGGCGACGGUUGUCCCGGUUUAAGCGUGUAGGUGUGUGUUCCAGGUAAAUCCGGUUCACUUUAACACUGAGGCGUGACGACGAGGCACUACGGUGCUGAAGCAACAAAUGCCCUGCUUCCAGGAAAAGCCUCUAAGCAUCAGGUAACAUCAAAUCGUACCCCAAACCGACACAGGUGGUCAGGUAGAGAAUACCAAGGCGCUUGAGAGAACUCGGGUGAAGGAACUAGGCAAAAUGGUGCCGUAACUUCGGGAGAAGGCACGCUGACAUGUAGGUGAAGUGAUUUACUCAUGGAGCUGAAGUCAGUCGAAGAUACCAGCUGGCUGCAACUGUUUAUUAAAAACACAGCACUGUGCAAACACGAAAGUGGACGUAUACGGUGUGACGCCUGCCCGGUGCCGGAAGGUUAAUUGAUGGGGUCAGCGCAAGCGAAGCUCCUGAUCGAAGCCCCGGUAAACGGCGGCCGUAACUAUAACGGUCCUAAGGUAGCGAAAUUCCUUGUCGGGUAAGUUCCGACCUGCACGAAUGGCGUAAUGAUGGCCAGGCUGUCUCCACCCGAGACUCAGUGAAAUUGAACUCGCUGUGAAGAUGCAGUGUACCCGCGGCAAGACGGAAAGACCCCGUGAACCUUUACUAUAGCUUGACACUGAACAUUGAGCCUUGAUGUGUAGGAUAGGUGGGAGGCUUUGAAGCGUGGACGCCAGUCUGCGUGGAGCCGACCUUGAAAUACCACCCUUUAAUGUUUGAUGUUCUAACGUGGACCCGUAAUCCGGGUUGCGGACAGUGUCUGGUGGGUAGUUUGACUGGGGCGGUCUCCUCCUAAAGAGUAACGGAGGAGCACGAAGGUUGGCUAAUCCUGGUCGGACAUCAGGAGGUUAGUGCAAUGGCAUAAGCCAGCUUGACUGCGAGCGUGACGGCGCGAGCAGGUGCGAAAGCAGGUCAUAGUGAUCCGGUGGUUCUGAAUGGAAGGGCCAUCGCUCAACGGAUAAAAGGUACUCCGGGGAUAACAGGCUGAUACCGCCCAAGAGUUCAUAUCGACGGCGGUGUUUGGCACCUCGAUGUCGGCUCAUCACAUCCUGGGGCUGAAGUAGGUCCCAAGGGUAUGGCUGUUCGCCAUUUAAAGUGGUACGCGAGCUGGGUUUAGAACGUCGUGAGACAGUUCGGUCCCUAUCUGCCGUGGGCGCUGGAGAACUGAGGGGGGCUGCUCCUAGUACGAGAGGACCGGAGUGGACGCAUCACUGGUGUUCGGGUUGUCAUGCCAAUGGCACUGCCCGGUAGCUAAAUGCGGAAGAGAUAAGUGCUGAAAGCAUCUAAGCACGAAACUUGCCCCGAGAUGAGUUCUCCCUGAGACUU
rnacentral:rRNA from 1 species